GACUCCAGAACUGUCAGAAAUAAAUGUAAGCCACCCAGUCAUGGUAUUUGGUAAUCGGGAGUCCACGCUGUCUAAAACAUCUAUCUACAAAAACCCUAAAGCUGCCAUCAUAUUUAUGGAUGCUUUUCUUCGAUGACCAAGAGAAAGGCGAGGAAGUCUUUUCUCACUGCUUGAAUUAAACAUUGUCCUAGAGGCCUUAACCAGCGCAACAAGGCAAGAAAAAGAAACAAAAGGCAGUCUAGAAAGGAAACAGUAAAACUGUAUUUAAUUGCAUAGAAAUCUUAUGGAUUAUAUAAAAAAUUGCCUUAGAAAUAAGUGGAUUUGGAGUUCUCUUGUGGUGCAGUGGGUUAAGGAUCUGGUGUUGUCACUGCAGUGGCUUGGGUUAUUGCUCUGGCACAAGUUCUAUCCCGGCCUAGGAACUCCCACUUGCCAGGGGGUGUGGCCUCCCCAAAGUGAAUUUAUCAAGGUUGUAGAAUACAAGAUUAAUAUAUAAAAACCAAUUACAUGUCUAUAUACGGGCAGUGAAAAUCAGAAAUUGAAAUUAAAAUACCUCUUAAAAUGGCCCCCCCAAAAUGAAAUACUUGAAAGACUACAAAACACAGUUGAGAGAAAUAUUGAAGAAAUACAGAGAUGUGUUUAUGCAUCAGAAAUCCCAAUAUUGUUGAGCCGUAGAUUCUCCCACAAUUCAUUUCCAGAGUCAGCACCAUCUCAAUCAAAAUCUCUGUGGGCUUUUUAAUAGAAAUCAACAAGCUGAUUCCACAGUUCACAUGGAAAUGCAAAAAAAAGAUGAAGAGUCAAGGCAGUUUUGAAGAAUAAAGUUGAGGCCUGACUUCAGGACUCAAAGGUUCAGUAAUCAAGACAGUAUUGGCAUAAAGACAGAAAAAGGUGUUAAUGUAAUAAACUAGCAUCCAGAAAUAAACCUGUACUUGUAUGGUCAGUUGGUUUUGGAAAAAGCAGCAAAAGCAAUUCAGUAGAGAAUGGAAAGUGUUUUAUCAAGUGAUGCUGUUAACAACUGGAUACCUAUAUGCAAAAACUGACUCAAAAAUAUCAGAGUCUAUGUAAAACCUAAAACUAUAAAACUUUUAGGAAAAAAUACAUGUGGCUUUAGGUUAGGCAAAGAUUUCUUUUGAUGUUAAGAACUUCUUGGAAUUCUUCAUUAUACAACUACAGAUGUGAUAAAUCCAUUUGAGUAAUAAAAAAUAAAUAAAUAAUUAAAAAAAAAAAAAGAAUUUCUUGGAAUUCUCUUGUGGAGCACCAGGUUAAAGAUCCUGUGUUGUCACUAUAGCAGCUUGGGUUGCUGCUGUGGCAUGAAUUUGAUCCCUGGCCCUGGAACUUCCAUAAGUCACAGGUGUGUCCAAAAAUUUAAAAAAAAAGAAAAAGAAUUUCUGCAACUCCAAACAUACUACUAAGAUGAGAAGACAACAGCCUAGAAAAAAAUUUGCGUAUCACGAUGUGAUAAGGGAUUUGAUCUAGAAUAUAUAAAGAAGACUUAAAACUCAACAGAAAGCAAACCAACCGACUUAUAAAUGGGCCACCAAUUUGAACAGAUAUUUCAUUUAAAAUUAACGAAUGGCAGAUAAGUGCAUGAAAGCAGGUUCAAUGGUAGUCAUUAGGGAAAUGCAGAUUAAAACCACAAUGAGAGAACAGGAUGGAGAAUAAUGUGAGAAAAAAGAAUGUAUGUAUUAUGUAUAACUGGUCACUUUGCUGUACAGCAGAAAUUGGCAGAACAUUGUGAAUCAACGAUAUUAAAAAAAAAAACAAACACAAUGAGAAGCCACCACACAUGUGAGCAUGUAUAAAGUGGAAAGGAAUGACCACAUACCAACAUGGUAUGGAGUAAAUGCUGGAUAGGAUAUGGUUUGUAGACAUGUCAAAGUAUAUGUUAAUAUGAAAAUAUUAUACUUGGAAGGAAUAAUGUCAGUGUAUUAGAAAUACCUCUCACACAUAAUUAUACAUGAUAAUAUAAGCAACUCAUGGAUGUUACUAUGGCCACAAACAUUUUUAGUUGAUAUAGUGAAGUACACUUGUCACAGAUCAAGAAUCACUGGGAUUGUAGUAACUGAUUGCUAUAAUGACUUCAUUCUGAUCUUCAUUCAAAUCUGCAUCUUUCAAACUUGGAAAUUUCUGUCAUAUUUUCUGUACUCUUAUAAAAGAUUUGGUUAAUCUUUGCUCUUAACAAUUGAUAAUAUUAGAGUUAAAAAAAACCCACUUAAGUGUAUUCCCUAUAAAAUUGGUUGGUUGUUAAUUUUUAAUCAACUCUUGGAGUUCCCGUUGUGGCACAGUGGUCAAUGAAUCCGACUAGGAACCAGGAGGUGGCAGGUUUGAUUCCUGGCCUUGCUCCGUGGGUUAAGGAUCCGGCGUUGCCAUGAGCUGUGGUGUAGGUUGCAGACGUGGCUCGGAUCCCACAUUGCUGUGGCUCUGGUGUAGGCCGGUGGCUACAGCUCCCAUUAGACCCCGAGGCUGGGAACCUCCAUAUGCUGCUGAGAGGCCCUAGAAAAGGCAAAAAGACAAAAAAAAAAAAAAAAAAAAAAAAAAUCAACUCUGGAAACUUAGUUUUUCGUUUUUAGGAAGUGACAUUCAUCUAAAAUUUGAAAUUUAUUGAUAUCAAAGAUGUAAAACAGUCACUUUUAUUUUUUAAUGUCUUUUGUGUGUGUUAUUUUGCCCUUAUUUUUAAUAAUACUAUAUUUCUACUUCUGUGACGUUUGUAGCUGCUUAUGUUCUUUUAAUGGAGAGUCUUCAAGGUUAAUAAAACCUACUUCUCUUUAAAUUUCAAUGAUUUUUUUCCUUAAUUCUAUUGCUGAGUUAUGUUCAUGUUCUAGCUCCUCAAGUGGUCUUUAAAGUUUUAACUUUUGAGUAUAGAUAUGGCCACAUCCCACAAGUUUUUGUUUCAUACUCUUUUCUUUCAAUUCAUAGUGUUCUCAUUGUUUCACUGAAGGAGAAAAUAUUAGGUAGAAGGUAACAUUUUGUUAAUAUCUGAUUUAUUACAUUUUUACCUGAACCACAGUCCUGUCUGAUUUGUGACAAACUUCACGUCUUCCUUAACCUCAGUGUUUAACUGUUGUUUGAAAUGUCUGGGGUUUUAGUCACUGUGUUAUUUUCUGAUGUACAGUAAAUGAUACACUCUGCUUUGUUUUUAGUAAUUUACAUUCUUCGAUGUGAAUUUUCUGAUGAAAAGAGACUUACGGCUAAAGAGCUUCUCACACGUAGCUGACAUUCACAGGAUUACUUUCCCUUAUGUCAGUAAGGAAUAGCUCAAACUAAAGGCUUUCCAAAAUUUCUCUACUUACUUGGUUGCUAGCCAGUACGAAAUUUCCAGUUACUAAGGACUGAUAGGUAGUGUUGGGAAGCUUGUCUGCAUCCUAUCACUAUGGUCUUUAGUGAUGAAUAUCGUGGUGGAACCAAAAAAAUGCUUGCACAUCCACAAGGUUCUGUGUAAUUAACUGAUGUUCCUUGAAGGCUGAGACCAGUGGCAUCUUCACUUCACUUAUUUGUAGGGUUUCUGGAGCGUGGAUUCCUUAAAGUUGAGGAAGAUGAGCGUGUCAGAAGUCCUUCCCGCAUUUCUUCCUUACAUUAGGAAUGGACUUUCUUGUGUCGAGUUAGUUGUGAGCACUGACUAAAGGCUUUUCCGCAAGGCUUGCAUUCAUAAGGCUUCUCACCAGUGUGAAUGAUCUGGUGUUGUUUAAGCUGUGAGCCCUGCCUGAAGGCCUUCCCACAUUCAUUACAUUUACAGGCUUUCUCGCCAGUAUGAAUUCUCUGGUGGUGGUUGAGCUGUGAGCCCUGCCUGAAGGCCUUCCCACAUUCAUUACAUUUACAGGCUUUCUCACCAGUAUGAAUUCUCUGGUGGUGGUUGAGCUGUGAGCCCUGCCUGAAGGCCUUCCCACAUUCAUUACAUUUACAGGCUUUCUCACCACUAUGAAUUCUCUGGUGGUGGUUGAGCUGUGAGCCCUGCCUGAAGGCCUUCCCACACAUUUCAUAGCUGUAAGGUUUCUCCCCAGUGUGGAUCCUCUGGUAUUGAGGAAGGUACGAGCGAUGGCCAAAGGCCUUUCCGCAUGCGUGACACUUGAAUGGCUUCUCACUGGUGGGGAUUCUGCGAUGUUCAUGAAGUUGCAUGAUGCCUCUGAAGGCCUUUCCACAUUCCUCACAGACAUAGGGCUUUUCUCCAGUAUGAAUUCUCUGAUGUUUGAUAAUCUGAUGUGUGACAAGUAGCUGAAAGCUUUUCCGCAUGCGGUACAUUGAUAGGGCUUUUCACUGCUAUGCGUUCGGUGACGUACCUUAAGUUGUGAGAGCCGAACAAAGGUUUUGCCACACUCCUUGCAGUCGUAGGGCUUCUCCCCAGUGUGAAUUCUCUGAUGUCUCGUAAAGAGCAAAACAGAACCAAAGGCCUUUCCACAUUGUUUACAUUCGUAAGGUCUUUCCCCAGUGUGAGUUCUCUGGUGUUGGGCAAGAUAGGAACGGUCGUGGAAAGCCUGCCCACCCUGCUGGCACUCAUAAGAUCUCUCACCAGUAUGAAUUCUCUGAUGACUAAGAAGAGAUUUCUUCUGCCAAAAGCCUUCUCUGCAUUCGUGACACACAAGGGGUUUACUUCCAGGUGGAACUCUGUGAAGCAGGUUAUGGGGUGACUGCUGUCUCAAAGUGGGUGUUUCUUCAUGAGCGAUGAUGACUUGCCGGGAGCUUCUGUCCUCAGUUCUGCGAUCGGUCUCGAAUGUGCCUUCCCAUUCCCGGUCUUCUUGGAAACUGAGGUUCUCCAGAUCUUUGUUUAUAAGUGUUUCCUUUUUCUGCCAUUGGGAUACCCGAUCUGAAAAGUAGUGAAAAAGCAGAGAUGCUUGUUUUAGUCCCAGGUAUCAGAGCAUCUUUAGUAGAAAUAGUUUUAAACUGAAAUGUUGGAGUUCCUGUCGUAGCUCAAGCAGAUACGAAUCCAACGGGGAACCCUGAGGUUGCGGGUUUGAUCCCUGACCUUGCUCAGCGGGUUAAGGAUCUGGCGUUGCUGGGAGCUGAGGUGCAGGUCAAAGAUGUAUCCUGGAUCUGGCAUUGCUGUGGCUGUGGUGUAGGCUGGCAGCUACAGGUCCAGUUCGACCCCUAGCCUGGGAACCUCCAUAUGCCUCAGGUUUGGCCCUAAAAAAAAAGACAGAAAAAUAAAAAUACAACUUACACCAAAAAAAAAAAAAAAA
rnacentral:lncRNA from 1 species